GGGGGAAUACAAGUUGAUCACAAUGAUAAUUGUUUAAUUGUUUGUUACAAACAUCAUUCAAAAUGUAACUUAUGUUAUUUAUAAGUUGUCAAAACAUUUCAAAACUCUUUUAAAUUUAUGUUACUUUAUAGUUAUACAAAAGUCUAUUUUUAAGAUACAAGCAUAACUUACUAGGUAAACGAGUCUUUUCAAUAAUAGUCCAAUUAGAACAUUAGUAAACUAUAAUAGGUAUAGUUUAGGAGAAUGCUAUUCAUUACUUCUAGUACAAUGAAGCACACAAAGAGUUAAUACCAUAACAUAACAUACAGUGAAGAGAACACACACAAGAUCUAAUUAUACCAAUGAAUCACUAACUCAUUGUUUUAAACAAAAGGUGAUAGUUAUAUUGGGUAUACAUGAUCAUAUAACAUUAAUGUGAAUUACACGACUUGCAAGAAUUUUUAGGGGUCGCGUUUGGUUCCCUUAAUCUCUAGACAGGGAGAGCGUUUAGUAGGGGUUCUGGACUUCACAUUAUGACCGUAAUAAAACAAAUAUGUUUUUAGAUUAUUAGUACAUUCGCAUGUCAUUAUAAACGACAUCUGUGUGCUUACUUUUCCCAUUACAUUCAUAAAGUGAUAGUACCACUUGAAAGUCGAAGUAUUUUCUAGUCAAGAUAGUUAUAAACUAGGGAAAAUAUACUUUUACAAUCGACAAUCAGAUCAGUCGAGUCUAGCACAUAUCAGAAGAUACCAUGGUAGAAGGCUACGAUUAAAAGUUAUGACCAUAAUGCUAGUCUUAUGAUUCCUUAAUGUAGACAUCAGCGGAUACAUAUAUCAAUAGGUUCCGACAGCUAAUAGGAUGCAUGCUCUCCUCCUCAUUUCCUGUUCCUUGUUGGGUUGUGGGCUUGGAACGGAUUCACCCAAUUUAUUAUCUACUCGAUUCUAUAUACAUGUAUGCUUAGUAUACAUUAAGUCAUCAUAAGUGUACCAGGUAUGGGUCAGGUUAUAGGACACAAAGUCAAAGCACAGUUUUUCUAGCACAAAACAUACUUUCCAAAAUCAGUACUUUGGGAAUACAAAACUAGGAACUUCCCAGUAAAGGGUUUAAUCCAUUUGGUUUAGCCAGUACAAUUUUAAGGACCUUAGGUGACUAACUCUAUAAUACCUUAGUUUAUACACCAUGUUCACAUAUAAAACCAAUACCCAAUAGGUAGUUGGAUGUGUGUUUUUCCGCCUUACUUCCUAUUCCACGUUGGGUUGUGGGCUUAGGGCAGAUUCACUCAAUUAACUUUCUAUCUGAUAUUGGAUUAUAUAUAAACUAAGUUAUUAUAAAAGUAGUCACUAUGGUCACCAUUUUACUAUACGAAAUAUAGGUUUUCUUAAAGAACUUUUCAUUAAAUAUAAAGGAACUAUUACAAUUAACUCCAUGAGUAACAAGUGAAUACACCAGGGUUAUAUAUGACAAUGAUCUAACAACCAAUGGGAUGUGAGCUAUCCACCUUAACUUCUGUUCCUCGUUGGGUUGUGAGCUUAGGUCAUAUGCGCACAAUCGAUUGUUUGUUUACUCUGAGUCUUAUAUAACUUGUACCCACUUAGUACCCAUAAAAAGGGUUGUAGUGUCAUUUUACUUAACUUUCAUUCAAGUAGGAAAUAUAGGAUUUUCUAGAGGAACAGGCAAACUUUUCAAAACAGAACUUACAACUUACACCACUUUUACAUAUACAUUUUCAACAACAUUUUGCAGCUUACUCACAUCACUAAAAUCUUAUGAACUCACCAGCUUAAUUGCUGAUCAACUCUUUCAAAUAACUUGUAUUCUCAGGAGACUAUUAGACGGGUGCUCGUGCUGGGGAUUCAGAAGAUGAAGCAUUAUAGCUUCAAGUCUUGUUUUGUUAUAUGUGUAUGAAUUCUAUGUUUUGUUAACACACACAUUGUAAACACUUUCUUUCGAAAUGAAAUGGUUCUUAAUUACUUGCUUACCAUAUACAUAUCCCGUGAUACUAAACAUGACGUCCUCCACCCCUAAACGAUUCCGCCGUUCCGAUUUUGGGGUGUGACAGAUUGGUAUCAGAGCAUUGUUUAUAGUGAACUUAGUAUAUCAACCAAUAAAAAGAUAUAAAACUAUUAAUGCAAUGGGGCUUAAGUGCUCUGGAUAAUCAUAUAUUUUAGAGUAUAACCACAAGUUAUAAAAAUAUACCUACUUGCUCAUACAUGUACAUAAUAGAACUAGUGUCACAAGGAGAGCAGAACUAAAGUAUUUAAAGGUUGGGCAUUGUCGUCAAACUGAACAGUUACGUAAUCAUAGCUAGGAUCAAUAUAGCCGGAUCAACUAUAUUCAUUCGAGAUGUGACCGACAUGUGUUUGGGAAUGAUGUGGUGUUGCAAUAGAGUUAAAACUUACCUGAACACCAGUCAAGAGAACCCCAGAACAAGUACAUUCAGAGUUAGAAUACUAUAGGAGUAUUUUAGUUCAGAUAAAUAACUUAUGUGAGAAUUUAAAAGACCCUUACGGAUAAGUCUAUAAUCUUGCAAGGUAUAUUCCUAAAGUUUAAUAUACAAUCAGGAUCUUAUAGACAUAGAAUCUGUGGCCUACACUUCGCUAUCCAUUCCUCUUAAGGGUGUAGUGUUGGGGUGCGAUCACUUAUUCCAAGGUCUAUUUAAUCUUCAAUAAUAUACAAACUUGUGUACCUUGUACAAUUAUAGGAUGAUUCGGUAAGGAUCACCCCCAUAAAGUUACCUUAAAGCUCCUAAAUUCUAUAGUCACUUUCAUUCUCGCACGACAAGCCCAUAUAGAUAUAACCACUCCCUCAUAGUAGACAACAGAAGAGUCCAGGAGGAACAAGGACAAGUUCAUGAGAAGUUUUCAAGGAAAGAUCAGCCGAAGUAACCAAAACAUCUUACACGUCACACUAAUAAAUAUUAAUCAUGUUAAUUUAUUGAGCGAGUGGAAACACUGCUCACAUUAUAUAUUGAGAUUAUUUUCUUACAUGCAGCUGGUAACAGUUAUUCAAGAAACAGAUAUUCAUUCGAGGAUGGUUAUUUCAAAUUCAUAGAGUUUAUUAGGUAUAGACUCAUUUAUGAAUUGUUUCUAGAACUCAGUGGAAGUCGGGACCCGAUACAUCCAGAACUAGGAUAACCUUGUCUUUUCAGCUUUCGGCUUGUGUCCAUUGCUAUAGACUUAUUCCAUCUCAUCUUUGUUUUCAUUUAGCAAAGAUGCCUCCUCGCAGAUCACCCAAACACACUACUCUGAUAACUCCAACGCCACCUCCUUCCCAAAUAGAUAUGGCAACUAUAAAUACUGCAGUGGCCGCGGCUGUGGCAACAGCCAUGGCUUAAUAUCAUCCCAUUAGUACAGGUGGAGGUGAAACGCCUACUGAUUCUACUCAAGGUGAGGUCCAUGUGCACCCGGGAGAGUUCUCCUACAAGGAAUUCACCAGAUGCCAACCAUUGUCCUUUAAUGGGACUGACGGAGUCAUUGGCCUCAAGCAAUGGUUCAAGAAAACAGAGGCGAUCUUCGAAAUCUGUUUAUGCCUAGAAGGAAGCAAAGUGAAGUUUGCUGCCUGCACCUUCUCUGGCAAGGCCCUAAAAUGGUGGAACAGCCAUGUUAAUUCACUAACCCUAUCAGUGGCUAACUCAAUAGGUUGGGAAAACCAAAAAGAGUUAAUGCGGGAGGAAUACUGCCCGUUAGGCGAAAUUCAAAAACUGGAACAAGAACUGUGGGAUCUCACUAUGGUCGGCUCAGACAUAGUGAACUACACUAACCGGUUCAGCGAACUAGCAGCUCUAUGCCCCAAGAUGAUUACCUCGAAGAGCAAGAAAAUAGAAAGUUACAUCUAGGGACUGACUGCUCCGACCCAAGGGAAUGUGUUGUCUUCUAAACCAGCCACGUUCGAUAGUGCCAAACACAUGGCUCAGCGACUCAUCGACCAUGGAGUCUGCCAUGGUUUAAAAGUCCCUAUUCCCGAGCCAUCAAAGGAAAAGGACUAUAAUCAGAAGUCGGGGAACAAGAGAAAGAAGAAGCAAACAACACAGGACACCCCACAAGAGAAAUGAGCGAGUACUAUGUACGCCGCCACGACGCCUACUGCUUCAGCCCCUGCCAGUCGAUAUGUUGGAAACCUUCGGAAGUGUGGAAAGUGUAACUUUCACCACACUGGAGUAUGUCGGGAAAUGCAGUGUCUGAACUGCCACAGAAAGGGACACAAAAUACGUUACUGCAGGGCACCGGCUCAACCGAUCUCCUAAGUCCUCGAAGCUGAAGAGAACCCAGCCUACUAUGGUUGUGGUGAGACUGGACACCGUCAGAGGGACUGCCCAAUAGUAAGGAACUCAGGAGCAGAUGGACACAUUAUGAUGAUCACCGCAGUAGAAUCUACGCCGAAGUCAUCGACCACUAGUGGUACGUUUUCAAAACAGUAAUUACUUUUAAAAUUAAUUUAUAUUCAUAUAAGAUUAAAAUUUGGGGAUAACACUUAAAAGUAACUAUAACAACUCACAUGUUGAAAUAGGUCACAAUAUUCAAGAGAACUAAAAGAUCCCUUAGAGUAGCUAUUAUGGCUCACCAUAUACAUCAGGGUUGUGCGCAACUAAGAUGUUGCAGACUUAGGGGCUGUUUGUUUUUUGUGUGAAGAGCUGCGCAACCACUUUUGUCUGCGCCGCGCAGACAACGCACAGACAUAUGACCUCGCAGACUGUUUGUUUUUUAGAAGUGUGCAGACCAAAAAACGUCUGCGCGAGGUCUUCCUGGCGCAUACAUGGACCACUGUCUUCAAAGGUCUUCAGACCUCAUUUUAACCCAAAAAAAAAAAAAAAAAAAACACCCGUUUUUUUUGUUUCUUUUUUUGCUGAAAAUGCAUUUUUAAUCUUUAUGACAUGAAAUUAAGUUUGAAAAAUUAAUUUAUUUCAAUGGCUGCAGAUGUUAAAACAAACAGUCUUCUUAUUGCAGACUGCAGACAUUUGGUCCACCUCUUCUGCUGCAGAGGUUUGCAGAUGUGGUCCGCAGACUGCAGACAUUUUGGCUUCAAAAAAACAAACAACACCUUAGAGUGAGUGACUCCGCUUAGGUCCCCUUUCCUUAAUUGGUUGAGGAUUUGAGGCAAAGAUAACCAAUCGACUGCCUGGUUCACCUUAGAUGUUCAUAACUUGUAUAUGACGGGCGAUGAUAGUGGUACCGAGGAGGAUUAUGAUAUAAAGUAUCCCCACCAGUUGGUAGAAUACUAUUGUUCAUAUGCAUGCGCACAUAGCGGUACGAUACGUAGGAUUGUUAACUUUAAUUAGAAAACAAGAAACACGAGAACAAUUACAAAGAGUACAUUGUUGAACAUAGUAGGAGUACAGUAUCGAGCAUACCAGGGAUACAUCAUUGUUUAUCAGACAUUUCUUUUAUUUGACCAAAACUUAAUUCAGUAAAGAGUCUUUUGCUUUCAUUUGUCAUGAGUUGGUGCGGUCCUCACCAUACUGAGUUCAUAUGUUUCUAUCGCCUCGAUCAGCAAGUUCUCGAAACUUUCGCAUUCAUAUCGAACGUCCGACCUAAACCUAAACUUUAUCUUUCAUAUUCUAAACCCCUGAAGUACUCGUGCGAAGAGUACUUUGUCCUCCGAAGCCUUAUCGUCAGAUGUCCGCAGUCCGUCGAGAAAUACCACUCGUCCAGCAGACCAAGUUCGAGCACAAAGACUAUGGACGAAUGCAGCCCACAUAUUACGAUUUAGUGUAUACGCGAGGGUAGUAUAUGAUUAUGAUUACGCAGAGUUAGUAUGUGUGUUUCCACCCUAUCUCCUGUUCCUCCUUGGGUUGUGGACCUGGGGCAGAGUCGCACAUCUGACCGUCUAACUGACCCUAAUUAUAUACGACUUGUAUACACGAGGUAAUGAUAGAUGGACCAAGUAUGAAUCCUAUCAUGAACGGAAGGGCCAGGUUGCUAAGUCUACGAGUGAGUAUUCUGUCAAUCAGAAGAGAGCAACCCAUUAGUAAUGCUAAGAAUGCUAAUUUCGGGACGAAAUUCCUUCUAAUGGGGGGAUGUUGUGACAACCGGAAAUUUCUAUUCUAUACAAUCAUUCAAUUCAAUAAAAGUCAGAACAGUUUCUGCUAAGUUUCAAGCUUUUUGGAAUAAGUUUGAAUGUUUUAAAGUUAGUGCUUCAGAAGUUAAGAGGAGAAAGGAUGCCCUAGGGUUUAUUGUGUAUCAACAAAGUUCCAAAAACUCCAAGAGUUUGAAGUCUACGGUCCAAAUGGUAUUUGGACUGUAAACCCUAAUGACUAUAUAAGUGAGACUUAGUUAUUUUAUCACUUUUUCACCAUUUCAAGCUAGAACUCAAAUCCUCUCAAGUUGCAUCCGAAUUUUCCUUCUAGAUCUUCAACUUAUAAUUCUUUCUAGCCCUAAUAAGUUGACAUCUACCUUAAUCUAGUGAUCUAACACACUUCCAUCCGUGAAAUCAUUCCAAAAGUCUAGAUCUUCAAGUUUCACCAAGAACACACAUUAGUGUUCUUGGACUUUAAACACCUUUUCAAGCUUCUACCUAGUAAGUACUUCUAUCCUAGAGUAUUAUAUGACUUGUUACACUUCUAAACAUCAAGAAAACAUCCAAGAAAGUCAAGAUCAAAGGUGUUUACGGUCCAAAAUGUUCUUGGAUCGUAAACCCUAAAAAUGGUGCGUAAGUGUGCCCUAAUUCCUUAAAAGCCUUGGAAAUAAACCUAGAACCUUUCCUUGAUGUGCUUAGUGCUUGAAAACAUCAAAAUACCAUAAUCCAUAUGGGUUUACGUCCGUAAACACAUGGAGAAGUGGUCCAUGGGCCGUAAACUCCAUUUUGAAGUGAAAUGAUGCCAUAAACACUUCCCAAGGCUAAGACAUGAAGUAGGAAUGCUUCUUUAGGACAUAUAGGCUUCAAAACACAAAAUGGUGGAGGCACCAUGAGUUUACUGCCGUAAACUCAUGGGUUUACGACCAUAAACUCCAAUGGAGUUGGUCCCAAAACCGUAAACACCUUUUAGUGCCAUUUCACUUCCCUUUGAUGAAUCACGUGUGAUUCCAACACUUGAGCAAGGUGUUUCCUAGUCCCAGAAGGCGUUUCCUUUCAUAUAGUUGUGUAUAAACGCUAUAUUCAUGUCAAUAUGUGUCCUUAUAUGUCAUUUAGGACUUAUUGUAUCUCGGAACUUCAUUCAUGGAACUUCUCAUCCUUACACGCAUACCCGUUUGAAUCACCCACAUCAGGUGAGUUCAUACCCCGUAAUGAAUCUUUUAACUGUUUUAACUAUUUUAAGGGGGGGGGGGGGCAACAAGGNUCACAAUGAUAAUUGUUUAAUUGUUUGUUACAAACAUCUUUCAAAAUGUAACUUAUGUUAUUUAUAAGUUGUCAAAACAUUUCAAAACUCUUUUAAAGUUAUGUUACUUUAUAGUUAUACAAAACUCUAUUUUUAAGUUACAAGCAUAACUUACUAGGUAAACGAGUCUUUUCAAUAACAGUCCAAGUAGAACAUUAGUAAACUAUAAUAGGUAUAGUUUAGGAUAAUGCUACUCAUUACUUCCAGUACAAUGAAGCACACAAUGAUUCAAUACCAUAAUAGAACAUACAGUGAAGAGAAUCAAACAAUACCAUAUAGAACAUAACAAACAAGAUAAGUUGCAAUAGUGUGAGAACUCACACAGGAUCUAAUUAUACCAAUGAAUCACUAACUCAUUGUUUUAAACAAAAGGUGAUAGUUAUAUUAGGUAUACAUGAUCAUAUAACUUUAACGUGAAUUACAAGGCUUGCAAGAAUUUGCAGGGGUCGCGUUUGGUUCCCUUCACAUGAUGACCGUAAUAAAACAAAUAUGUUUUUAGAUUAUUAGUACAUCUGCAUGUCAUUAUAAACGACAUCUGUGUACUUACUUUUCCCAUUACUUUCAUAAAGUGAUAGUACCACUUGAAAGUCGAACUAUUUUCUAGUCAAGGUAGUUACCAACUAGGGAAAAUAUACUUUUACAAUCGACAAUCGGAUCAGUCGAGUCUAGCACAUAUCAGAAGAUGCCUUGGUAGAAGGCUACGAUUAAAAGUUAGGACCAUAAUGCUAGUCUUAUGAUUCCUUAAUGUAUACAUUAGCGGAUACAUAUAUACCAAUAGGUUCCGACAGCUAAUAGGAUGUGUGUUCUCCGCUUCAUUUCCUGUUCCUCGUUGGGUUGUGGGCUUGGAACGGAUUCACCCAAUCUAUUAUCUACUCGAUUCUGUAUACAUCUAUGCUUAGUAUACAUUAAUUCAUCAUAAGGGUACCAGGUAUGGUUUAGUACUUUGGGAAUACAAAACUAGGAACUACCCAGUAAAGGGUUUAAUCCAUUUGAUUAAGCCAGUACAAUUUUAAGGACC
rnacentral:lncRNA from 1 species